rnacentral:tRNA from 1 species
UUGUGUAUAGUUUAAUCGGUUAGAACAUGGUGUGGAUCGACUCCACCUUUGCUGAAUAGCGAAAUAAAUAACUGGCUUUAGUCGCCGGAUGGUGCGGGUUCGAAUCCCGUUACACAAA